ACGGUACCAUCAGAAGAAGCACCGGCUAACUACGUGCCAGCAGCCGCGGUAAUACGUAGGGUGCGAGCGUUAAUCGGAAUUACUGGGCGUAAAGCGUGCGCAGGCGGUUAUGUAAGACAGAUGUGAAAUCCCCGGGCUCAACCUGGGAACUGCGUUUGUGACUGCAUAACUAGAGUACGGCAGAGGGAGGUGGAAUUCCGCGUGUAGCAGUGAAAUGCGUAGAGAUGCGGAGGAACACCGAUGGCGAAGGCAGCCUCCUGGGCCAGUACUGACGCUCAUGCACGAAAGCGUGGGGAGCAAACAGGAUUAGAUACCCUGGUAGUCCACGCUGUAAACGAUGACGACUGGGUGUUGCAGGUAUUGACCCCUGCGGUGCCGAAGCCAACGCGUUAAGUCGUCCGCCUGGGAAGUACGGCCGCAAGGCUAAAACUCAAAGGAAUUGACGGGGCCCGCACAAGCGGUGGAGCAUGUGGUUUAAUUCGACGCAACGCGAAGAACCUUACCCGGGCUCGAAAAUGCACGAAGU
rnacentral:rRNA from 1 species